CUCUAAUGGGUCUCCAGGUUGGGAUUGGAUGCAGGUGCUCAAUUCCUGUACCUGAUUUGUGCCUGAUAAAAUCAAGGCUACAUCUGGAGGGCAGGGAAACAGGUAUACAGGCUGCUCCAGUUCUCUGCUAAAGCUACUGGGGCAGCUAUUACUGAACACAUGCACAGGACGUGUAGAGGAGGAAAAGGACAGCAGAGGUAGAGUUUAACCUGGUUCUGACAUGAAUCAUGCAGAUGAGAAACCUUACUGGAAAUGACAAACUUGAGAGUGGAUGUCAGCUAUCCAGUUCAGAGGCGAAGCAUCACAGCCAUAAGGAAAGAUUAUAAACAGAAUCCCAAGAAGUGUGAUGGCUGAUCCCAGGUGCUGCCAGAGCUCUCCCUGCACAGCCCAUGAGAAGGGACACAGUGUUGGUAACCUGGCAUGUGAUGGAUGUGCCUGUGCCCACAGCCACAGGAUUCUUUCAGAGCCAGUGGUGGUGAAGUCCCCAGACAGAGCAAGCAAUUCCAAGAAAAAGGCAGUAAACAAAGAAGGACAAUGAGUCAAUGAAACAACGUUGAGUGGAAAGCAACAGCCAGUACAAGAACUGAUAAACCUUGGAUGCACCUCUCUGCUCUGGCACUGUCCUGUUGGGUGACCUGAGGCCAACUACCUCCCUCCUGGAGUUUCAAUGCCUCCAGCUAUGAAAAGGGGACAACAAUAGCUGCCAGCUUGAAAAGAGCUUUGAAUUGAAAAGAUAAAGAAUGUUACCUAAGAGACAGGAACUAGAAAAGAGGUUUUUCAACCUGAGCUGAUUAUGUAAAGGUAAAACUCUUAAAAGUUAAUAAAGGUAAAAACAUACUUCCCCCCCCAUUGGUAGAAUUACUAACAGUACUGAUGGUAAGAAUUGCCAGUUAAUUUCUGUUUUGCUUAAAAUGGUUUUGCUAAGAUGGAAUAACAUUGCAAUGGUUUCAUUGUGGUUGUGGCUAUUUCAGAAAAGGAGAUUCCAGGUAAUUUCUUAACUCUGCCCCUCUUAAGUGCCCCAGUCAGCAUUCCUCUCAGCUAUCACAAGGAAUGGCUAUCACCCCAAUUACCUAUCAGUCCAUUCACACUAAUAUAAAGGUAAGGUAGCAGGUUUUCCUUUGCUAAACAAACCCCUCAAAAUCGGGCCUGUUAGCUGUGAAUCAAAAUUUGUUUGUCUGCUGUUGGACAAGCGAACUGAGGUGUAUUAACCUCUGCUUUGCAAUGAAGAGGUUCUGGGGAGCAACAGGGAACCAGCAGGGCCACAGUCCCCUGAAACACAGCGAACAAUGUGUCCCUGUGUCAGCACCUUGUAAGGUUUAAUUGAGAAAGGCUGUUCUGAGCGGUGGCACACGCAUAUUCAAUCUGCUGGCGUUAUCACUUUUUCUGUGAAGAAUGUGUAAAUGAUAAUGACGAACACAGUGGGGACUAGUAAAGCAGUUAACCAGUAACAGUGACAAAUUAGUUGGUCAAAUAAAACUAAAGAAUUAGAAUUGACUGUUUUCUCCAUAGGAAGCUGUAUAUGUGACAGCACUGGGCUUCAUAUCUGUUUCAUAAAAUAAGGAACUGAAAUCCAAAUUGUUGGUACCAUGCAGACUUAAUAUUCCUUUUCAACAGCACACCGAAAUGCUUCUGCAUUAAUGAACACUUCUACUAAAGAAGGGCAGGAUGACUGAAACAGCAGCAAUACAGAUAAUAAUUAAUGAAAUAAAUGAAAACUAACCCUGAAGAAUAAAAUAAGAGAAAGGCAA